rnacentral:lncRNA from 1 species
AGACUUGGGGACUGCUGGGUAGGGAAAGCUGGGAACUAAGAGAAGGGCCUCAUGGAGGGGGUGCAUGGACACAAGGACAGUGAGAUGGGGAGGAAGCUUUCAAUGAGAGGAGAGUCUGGGGCAGAGCUACCUCAUGGAAGUGGGAAGUCCCAAAAGUGGAGGGGUGGGGAAAGGAGAGGAGAGGAGCAGAGUGAACUAGAAGGGGUCAGAGUUCAAGGUCUUUCAAGUGUUCUAGAAAUGAAUAGACAAGUGAGUGCCCAGACCAACGAGUGGCCUGAUUUAAUUAAUGAAUUAAUCACUGACUGCACUCACUUAGGCCGGGCAGCACACCAAGUACUUUACAUGUAUUAUCUCUUUUGAUCUUAAAAGG